AGGCAGGCCAGGGGCCCCGCGAGCCCCACAGUUAGGUAGUCAGAGGAGUUAAAGGAAGUCCUUAUGAACCACCUCUGCCCCAUGGAGGUGCGUCCAUGCGGGAUCCUUCUAGAAUUAACCGCAAGAGGGAAAGGGAUGAAGAGAUUGAGUUAGGACAUCAUCCUGAAAAGGGAAGGCAACAUUUUCCAGCUGGGGGAAUCUACUUCCUGGUUCACCAUGACAGAUGGGAAAGGACCAGAGACAGUCCUGUCAGAAUCCACAGUCAGAGGAGUGCACAGAAGUGGAGGGGUAGGCUGACUUGUGCCCUCCAUGUGCUGACAGGGAGAGAUGGGGAGAAGCCAACAUGUCUGCGGCCAGCCCUGGGACAAUUCGACAACUGCUGCCUGCACAUUUCUUGCCUUCUUACUCCUGUCAACCCCUCUGUGCCCUCCCCAAAGAACUCCACUUCCACUUUCAUGUCAUCGGGACAUACAUGGUUCUGUGUGCCUGUCGCAUGUAGGACCCACGUAUGAAAGAAAACGGGUGUUGUGUGGCCUAGGACCCACACCAUCAGAUCCUCAAAAUAAUCAUGCCGGUCAGAUAGGCUAGAUCUAUACUUCCACGGCAUCAGGGAACUGAAGCCCGUGAUGUGAGCCAUCUCUCCACAGACACACAGCAAAUACAAGAACUAAGAUAAGCACUUCAAGGUCAUGCACGCGUCCUCCUGGCAGAGGCAAAUCCGAGCAGCGAGAGGAAGUCAAUAGUGGUUGUAGGUGUUGCUGAAGAAGAGGGUGCAGGCUGUAGCUACUGUUGAGGCUUGGGUAGGGAAGACUCACAGCUGCUUCUUCUGUUACCGUUCAGGACUUUACGCUAAAACAACAGUGUGAGUGUGGGUAGGUGGAGGUCAGAUUUCACUGUCAUUCCUCUGACAUAUACCUGUUUUUGGGGAAUCUCACUGGCCUGGAACUUAUCAAGCAGUGCUCAGAGUAAGUCCAAGGUCUCAAGAGGAUAGAUGUACUCCAUGCCACUUAAUGCUGUCACAGCCGCAAGUCUGAUCUGAUUACAUUCUAAAGAUCGUGUUCCUAGGUCAGACACUGCAGUGCCUCAAGAUAUCUGGUAGAUAUCAUAAUCUCAGUCAGCAAAGUGUCUCACCCACUUUGCUCCACCCCAUACCGCACUGCUGAUGGUCUCUCUGUGAGCCUGGCAGCAAUCUCUCUACCCAUCUAUUUCCCAAGGCAGGUUGCCACCAUGCCAGAAAUAUACAUCCCAAUUCCGUGGCGGCCUUGUGUCUCCACCACCACACACUCUCUUAAACUUAAAUCGCCACAAGAAAGAACAUACAACACAAUCACCUCUGAUCCCAUCGAUGAGAUAUAACUGCCCACCUAAACAUACAAAGUCUUGUACACAUCCAUCCCUUAAGAACAUUCAUCACAACCUGUAAAGGUAGAGUGGAAUCUUAGCAUCUGCCUCCAUGUUCUCUUGAUGGCUUCCUCUCCAAUCUCCUUCCGUUCCAGUUUCCUCUUCCCUCAAACUUUUCUCCCGUCCAUCCUUCCUUCUUGUCCAAUGACAGGCCUCAUUCUAUCUUGUACCUGCCUCCACCUGUAUGACAUCCUACAAUCUCCAUAAAGCUAGGUGCCACACCCAUCACAAACCUAGGUCAUAUGGUGUGUGUGCACACAUAUAUAUUGCUCCUGGGACCUUGUCAUCAAAACAGCACAAAUCAAUCAAAAGGGAAACUAAAGCAAACGAGAGGUGCCUGAGACCCCUAUUGACACAGAAGUUACUCCAGACAACGAUUCAAGAGGCUGUCACCCACACACAAAGGACACCACCCACUUGUACGGAGCCGUAUUGGAUUUGGGCCUGGUGGCUUUGUGACUGUAUGGCCAUAAAGUCUUGAGAUUGUUGGACAAAAGCCUCUCCCAUGAAUUUACGGCACAGGAAGAAAAUAAACACGGAAUGCUUUCAGCCCGAACAAAUACCAAGUAUCUCCUGACACCCGGUGUCUCCACCGCAUGACCCCUGCUGAGCCCGGCUGAUGCAUGUGGAACUGACACACCUGGGCCACACCUGGGCCACACCUGGGCCACACCUGGGCCACACCUGGGCCACACCUGGGCCACACCUGGGCCACACCUGGGCCACACCUGGGCCACACCUGGGCCACACCUGGGCCACACCUGGGUGGUGGUCAAUUCGCUCCUGCCUUUUGCUUUCUCAGCCUUUGUCCUUGAGAUUUAGGCUGGUCUUCUCGGAUUUCUCCCUAAUUAAUUCAGGUCUCCUAGUAGUCGGUCUUUUGUUACGAAGUCACUCUUGAGCCAGGGUUUCCCACUGUACUUCCCAGAUAUUUUCUACCUGGGGAACUUGGGUAUAUAAGUGUGAAUAAAGCUACAGGAGUCUCUCUCUCUCUUCCUCUCCUGGCUUGACAUGA